GAUAGGGAUCCCAGUGCGUAGGCAUAGAGCCUACGCUCUUGUCCACCGUAGGGAGGUGGACGAAUAAGGGCUGGGCAAGACCGGUGCCAGCCGCCGCGGUAAUACCGGCAGCCCAAGUGAUGGCCGAUUUUAUUGGGCCUAAAGCGUCCGUAGCUGGCCGCACAAGUCCAUCGGAAAAUCCACCCGCUCAACGGGUGGGCGUCCGGUGGAAACUGUGUGGCUUGGGACCGGAAGGCGCGACGGGUACGUCCGGGGUAGGAGUGAAAUCCUGUAAUCCUGGACGGACCGCCGAUGGCGAAAGCACGUCGCGAGAACGGAUCCGACAGUGAGGGACGAAAGCUAGGGUCUCGAACCGGAUUAGAUACCCGGGUAGUCCUAGCCGUAAACAAUGCCUGCUAGGUGUGGCUCCCACUACGAGUGGGUGCUGUGCCGUAGGGAAGCCGCUAAACAGGCCGCCUGGGAAUUACGUCCGCAAGGAUGAAACUUAAAGGAAUUGGCGGGGGACCAAAAAUUGGCGGGGGACCACAGGACUUAGCGGGGGA
rnacentral:rRNA from 1 species